UACGGAGGGUGCAAGCGUUAUCCGGAUUUACUGGGUUUAAAGGGCGCGUAGGUGGGUUGGUGAGUCAGUGGUGAAAUACUUUCGCUUAACGAAGGAACUGCCAUUGAUACUACCAGCCUUGAAUACAGUGGAGGUGGGCGGAAUGCGUCAUGUAGCGGUGAAAUGCUUAGAUAUGACGCAGAACACCAAUUGCGAAGGCAGCUUGCUACGCUGUUAUUGACACUGAGGCACGAAAGCGUGGGGAUCAAACAGG
rnacentral:rRNA from 1 species